CCACCCACGAGGCUGCCCCGCGCCAGCUUCUGCAGCUCGACGGGCACCACGGCGCUGGGGCAGUGCUUCUCGAUGUAGUCCUGGAAUCCCUGCACUCCCAUGCAAGCAUGUGCCUCAGCUGCCAGCCUGUUCCUACAAACCCCACAGCUUGCACAGAGCAGUCGAGCUGAGCUGAUGCCAGGAAAGUGAAGAUCUUGUAAGACAAUGUUUAAACUUGUGUAUUCCCAGCUUUUGUAAUUACAGGUUCCCAGAUCAGGAUGAUGCAUGGAAAAAGCACUCAGAUAAAGCAUCAUUUGCCCAAACGUGUCAUCAGAAACUGACUUCCUAAAGGGGACUUUCAAGGCCUGGUUAACCUGUGCCUGGUGCUACUGAAGAGAGCAAGAAUCUUGCUGCAGAUUUCAGGGAGAGCAAGAGAAGAACCCUGGGAGUGAAGAAACAUCAUUUGUAUUCACUUUGGCAGAUGGCUGUGUUUUAGGAGAACCUACAAACAGUUCUUGAGGCUCUAGGGUAGACUGAGGAGGGAGUAAAAUGAGUGAAAGUAAACAAGUGUGCCUCUGCUGUACCAGGACAUGAUAUGCACUUAAGCCUUUGGGCAUAUGAGAAAUCAACAUGUGAUUCAAGUGUAUAUAUAGAAUGAAUGGACUUGGGACAAAUGUUUGAAGACUUCUUGCAACAAGUUGCUCACAAAUGAUCUACAGCAAGAGUUACUUCCAGAAUAGUUACUGCACAUGUGUUUGGAAAAAAGAUACUCAAGCAAAUCAAUCUGCUUGUGGACAAAUAGUGAAAAGAGAAAAAGGAAAAAUUCCUCUAACAAAUAUGAAACUGCAAAUUAUUCACUCAGCUGAGUUGGCAACAACCAAUUUUUUUGGUAGUAGGAGCUGAUGGAGUAGGAGAGAGAAAGAUACCAGGACUGAGACUCUUUUGUGUCACCGAAGUCAACUAUGGCAAAAAGGUGCAUUUCUGCAAGAAUGUUCAAGGCAACCUCCUCAGCAACAGAAGGAUGUGCUGCAGAAGGUGAUAUUCAGUAGCUGUUUCUGCUAGGAUACAGGAUGAGGAUAUCUGCAUCCAGCUGAGCUGUGCCAAAACUACCUUGACUUCCUGCCUCAUACCUUUCUUUCCAUGCUGCAAAUCCAUGUUAGUUUCAAGACUGCUUGAAAUGUCUGUGGCUGGCAAUGUCAGCCCAUGGCUAGUGAACAUCCUACCCACUGCUGAUACUUUAGGAGCCCUUUCUGCAGCACCUGCUUCCUUGGGACAGGAGCUGGGGCAUACAGUAAUUCAUCACCUCAUUGUCAGAACAUACGUUGGUGGACUAACUUCAACAAUUUCACUGCAGGAGAGCUUUAAUUCCUAACUAUUGUAAGAAUAUAGACAAAUUUCUCAGCCUGCUUCAGUCUACAAAUUGCAGAUACAUAUAUAGGUUGUUUGAUCCUGGAUACAAAACUCACCACUGCCCUCUAUAUCUACCUUCUUCAUUGCCUACAAUUUGGGAGCAUUUGCCCAGAGAGGGUAAGAAAAUAUUCAGCUGCUGCAGAUCCACCUAAGCGCACCAAUUUUUUUGUUUGUUUGUUUAAUUUGCUACAUAUGAUUAACUCCACUGAGUUUCUGCCAGGCAGAAUUUGCAACUCAAAGUACCCCAUGAGUGUGCUGCAACACUGCCAGGAACUGAAUACCACUAGUCUUCAUAAUCGCUGUUUUUCCAAAGAUCAGGUAUAGCAGACAGACUAUUUUAGGCUAUAAAUGGAAAUCAGGAAAUGAGAUCUUCUUUCCCUGCUAGUUCCUCUCCUGGGAAUUUUAGUCCUUUUCUCGGUGCACAUGCUUUGGUUGUUGGUAUAUUGGUAAUGUGGGUCUCUCAGACCAUCUGUCACUGGAGUCUGUUCUGAAGUGCUGCAAUGCCAGUGAACAUGGGAAAUCAUUCCCACUAGUACCAAUGUGCUGUUUGUUGAUAUAACAUCACCUGUGAGACCAAAACCAGAUCAGGAUAGCCUGAUUUACCCCAUGAUUCUGGGAACAGGUGAUUCAAAAGUAAAGUUUACAAAGUAAGUAAAGGUAUUUCCCAGCUACCUGCACUUCCUCUUCUAACAGUUGUAAUCCAUUUGCAACUCUCAGUUUUGCAGAUUGCCUGUUACCUCCUGUGGAUGAUCAAAGUCUAGUCAUGAAUGCAGGCACUCUGGACUUACAGUCCUGUCUAUAUGAGGGAUGUCUGGCCUAGCCUUCAGUUUAUAGGACAGAUAUUGCCAUCUAAAUCAUCCAUAUCAUAUAGAUCUAAUGCAAGAUCUUUGCAUGGCCUUUAAAUCUGAGAUGUUCCAAUUAUCAUUCUUCUGUCAUAAAUUCUUCCAUCAUCAAUUCUGUCAUUCUUCAUGAAUUAUGUAUUUUUCUAUUUUCUGGAAAAAGCUCUGCAUUAUUAGGAGGUAAAGAGAUUAGGUUUUGCUACAGCAACAUGAUCUCAGAACUUGAGAACAAACCCUUAGCAUCAUAGGCUCUUUUCUGUUGCCUCUAAUGAUAAUGAGAAGCAUUUUCUGGGCUAGAAAAUACCCUCAUUAGUUCAUGACAGGGUGAUUCUAGGACUGUAUGCCCUUGUUUGAUUAAAUGCUAAUCACAGGUGUUCUUUGAUAGGGUCAAAAAAUAAUUACCCUUUGAUAUUUUAGUCAAUUGUAGUACUACUGAGAAGCACUCUUUUCCUGCUUAUAGAAAUAAAGAUUCCAUUUAACCUUGGAAAAACAUUAUUCAUGCUAUUUUCUUUACUGAAGGAAAAGGAGUGGGCUUUUUUGAGUACAGACCUAUUCAGUGAGAGAUAUCUUAGUGUUCUGGGGUGACUUUAUGAUGCUUGUAUCCCCCCUUGUCAGUUUAGCCCUGAAAUAAGUUUUGCACCUUUAGGACUGGUUCCAAGAGUGAAGGGGGGCUGGGGCUGAGAAGAAGCGCAGAGUUUGUUGUCAGAAACUGCACUUGCUCCCCCACAUCCUUCUCCUGGACUGUGUUGUCAGCAGACAGACAAGACAGCAAGAUAGAGCUCUCCUUUGCUUUUUAGUUAGUAUUUAGCUAACUGAGUCAGGGACUUUGUCUGGACUGUGGUUUUUAUUUUUCCUUGGAACUAUUUAAACCUGCUCUGGACUGAACACCCAGAAGAGCACCAGCAGCUCACACCUGUGGCCCACCAGGCUGGGCCUGGGCUGUGGCAUUUCCAGGGCCAGAGGGACUGAUAAGAGACUGAGUGAGCUGACCUACAACCCUCAAAAGGGACUUUCUGAGUUUGUCAUCAUUUCAGAGCAGUGAGAGGGUAUAUUGUUUAAUAUUGUUAAUUUUUUUGUGCUCGUGAAUAUUUUGCCUGUUAAAUAAAGAGGUUUUUUUUCCA